rnacentral:rRNA from 1 species
UACAGAGGGUGCAAGCGUUAAUCGGAAUUACUGGGCGUAAAGCGUGCGCAGACGGUUGCGUAAGUCAGAUGUGAAAGCCCCGGGCUCAACCUGGGAAUUGCAUUUGAGACUGCGUAGCUAGGGUGCGGAAGAGGGAAGGCGGAAUUCCGGUGUAGCGGUGAAAUGCGGUAGAUAUCGGAAGGAACACCAGUGGCGAAAGCGGCUUCCUGGUCCCAGCACCGACGUUCAGGCACGAAAGCAUGGGAGUCAAACAGGGAAUUCAAG